UACAGAGGAUGCAAGCGUUAUCCGGAAUGAUUGGGCGUAAAGCGUCUGUAGGUGGCUUUUUAAGUCCGCCGUCAAAUCCCAGGGCUCAACUCUGGACAGGCGGUGGAAACUACCAAGCUGGAGUACGGUAGGGGCAGAGGGAAUUUCCGGUGGAGCGGUGAAAUGCGUAGAGAUCGGAAAGAACACCAACGGCGAAAGCAGCUCGCUGGGACGUGACUGACGCUGAGACGCGAAAGCGUGGGGAGCAAACAGG
rnacentral:rRNA from 1 species